rnacentral:rRNA from 1 species
GAUGAACGCUGGCGGCGUGCCUAAUACAUGCAAGUCGAGCGAAUGGAUUAAGAGCUUGCUCUUAUGAAGUUAGCGGCGGACGGGUGAGUAACACGUGGGUAACCUGCCCAUAAGACUGGGAUAACUACGGGAAACAGGGGCUAAUACCGGAUAACAUUUUGAACCGCAUGGUUUGAAAUUGAAAGGCGGCUUCGGCUGUCACUAAUGGAUGGACCCGCGUCGCAUUAGCUAGUUGGUGAGGUAACGGCUCACCAAGGCAACGAUGCGUAGCCGACCUGAGAGGGUGAUCGGCCACACUGGGACUGAGACACGGCCCAGACUCCUACGGGAGGCAGCAGUAGGGAAUCUUCCGCAGUGGACGAAAGUCUGACGGAGCAACGCCGCGUGAGUGAUGAAGGCUUUCGGGUCGUAAAACUCUGUUGUUAGGGAAGAACAAGUGCUAGUUGAAUAAGCUGGCACCUUGACGGUACCUAACCAGAAAGCCACGGCUAACUACGUGCCAGCCGCCGCAGUAA